UUUCCAAACGCCUCUCUCUCAAUC
rnacentral:siRNA from 1 species